rnacentral:rRNA from 1 species
GUGGGGAAUAUUGGACAAUGGGCGAAAGCCUGAUCCAGCAAUGCCGCGUGAGUGAUGAAGGCCUUAGGGUUGUAAAGCUCUUUUACCAGGGAUGAUAAUGACAGUACCUGGAGAAUAAGCUCCGGCUAACUCCGUGCCAGCAGCCGCGGUAAUACGGAGGGAGCUAGCGUUGUUCGGAAUUACUGGGCGUAAAGCGCACGUAGGCGGCUACUCAAGUCAGAGGUGAAAGCCCGGGGCGCAACCCCGGAACUGCCUUUGAAACUAGGUAGCUAGAAUCUUGGAGAGGUCAGUGGAAUUCCGAGUGUAGAGGUGAAAUUCGUAGAUAUUCGGAAGAACACCAGUGGCGAAGGCGACUGACUGGACAAGUAUUGACGCUGAGGUGCGAAAGCGUGGGGAGCAAACAGGAUUAGAAACCCGAGUAGUCC